CUCCUCUACAGCUGGACUCUGAAUGGAGAUCCACUGAUGGAUGGAAACCCCAGCACUGAUCUGGAUGAGGGAACUGAUGGAAGCAUCAGCUGCAGUGUGAAGAACCACGUCAGUCACGGACAGACGGCCAUUAGUCUGAAACCCUGUUCUGUUUUACAUGUCUCUCUGAUUGCUCUGGGCUGCGUUGCUCUGAUCCUGAUUCUGCUGUUCAUCACUGUAUAUCACGCCUACAAGAAAAAACAGGUCAAGUCGACAGCUCCUGCUGGCAGUGCGGACAUCAUAUAUGCUGAUAUCUCUCAUAAGAAAAAGGGUGAAAAGAAGAAAAGAGAAUUACUCCCGGCUGCUGAUGCGGAAUACGUCGAGGUCAAACCACAGAAAAAGCGGAAGGAGAGGAAAGAGAAGGAGGAAGAGGUUCAGUACGGCGAGGUGAUGUUCACUCUGAACUGCUCAAACGCUCACCUGCAGCCUCAGGAUGAGUGUGUUUAUUCUCAAGUACACACA
rnacentral:lncRNA from 1 species